rnacentral:sRNA from 1 species
UUACCCUGCGAUGCAAUGGCGGAAGCCAC